AAAUAGCUGAAUAACAACAAUACAAAAGCUGCGUUGGAACGGAAAGACAAUUCGCGAAAAGAAGAACACGCAGAGGACAGCAAGACAAAAAAAGUGUCGAAGAGCAUUUGGAUGGAUCCUAGCAUUGUAAUCCGUGUCAAUCUAGUGGAUGUGUGACGCUUGUCUGGAUGAUUGGAUAUGAAUAGAGGUAAAAAGAUAAAAAUGAAAUCGGUGAAGCCCCACCUGCUGCAGUGGGCUUUGAAUGAAUACAGCGGAUUAACGUCAGGUAUUAUAUUCAUCCGGCUUGACGCGUGAAACCCUACAUACCAUAAGAGAUUCGUUUUGCUUAGGGGCUGCCUUUGAGAGUCUCUGCGCUGGGGUGCU